CUGGUUGAUUCCUGCCAGUAUCAUAUGCUUGUCCAAAGUUAAGCCAUGCAUGUUAAGUAUGAACUAAUUCAGCCGGUGAACUGCGAAUGGCUCAUUAAUCAGUUAUAGUUUGUUUGAUGGUACUGCUACUCGGAUAACCGUAGUAAUGUCUAGAGCUAAUACGUUGCAACCAAACCCCGACUUCUGGAAGGGAUGCAUUUAUUAGAUAAAAGGUCGACGGCGGGUUUAACCGUUUGCUCUGAUGAUUCAUGAUAACUCGACGGAUCGCAUAGCUUGACGCUGGCGACGCAUCAGUCAAAUUUCUGCCCUAUCACUUGUCGUGGUAGGAUAGUGGCCUACCCAUGGUGGUGACGGUGUGACGGAGAACUAUAGGGUUCGAUUUUCGCGAGAGGGAGCCUGAAAGAAACGGCUACCACAUCCAAGGAAGGCAGCAGCGCGCCAAAUACCCAAUCCUGACAGGGAGGUUAGUGACAAUAAAUAACAAUACCGGCUCAUUUGAGUUCUGGUAAUUGGAUGAGUACAAUCUAAAUCCCUUAAACGAGGACCAUUUGGGGGGCAAGUCUGGGUGCCAGCAGCCGCGGUAAUUCCAGCUCCAAUAGCGUAUAUUUAAGUUUGUUGCAGUUAAAAAGACUCGUAGUUGGACCUUGGAUGGGCCGACCGGUCCGCCUCCGCGAGCACGAUCGUUCUCGUCCUUCUGUCGGCGAUGCGCUCCUGGCCUAAUUGGCCGGGUCGUGCCUCCGGCGCUGUUACUUUGAAGAAAUUGAGUGCUCAAAGCAGACCUAAGUCUUGGAUACAUUAGCAUGGAUAACAUCAUAGGAUUCGGUCCCUAUUGUUUGGCCUUCGGCGAUCGGAGUAAUGAUUAACAGGACAGUCGGGGGCAUUCGUAUUUCAUAGUCAGAGGUGAAAUUCUUGGAUUUUAUGAAAGACGAACAACUGCGAAAGCAUUUGCCAAAGGUGUUUUCAUAAUCAAGAACGAAGCCUUGGGGGCUCGAAGACGAUCAGAUACCGUCCUAGUCUCAACCAUAAACGAUGCCGACCAGGGAUCGGCGGAUGUUACUCGUUAGGACGCCGCCGCACCCUUAUGAGAAAUCAUAAGUUUUUGGAGUUCCGGGGGGGAGUAUUUUGGGAUUUCCUUGUGCUAGCUUGAAAAACUCAAAGCAACUGAGAGUUUAUGGCCUUUAUCGCGAUACUGAAACCCACCUAAUUCAGAAAUACUGCUCUCCAUCUUGGGUUUUUCAUCACCCAAUUCUGUGGAAGUCCUGAUUUUAUCACAUUACGCCGUUAGCAGUGUCGUAACCAACAUCUGCUUCUGUCUCACUGCCUGCUAGCUCUCAGUCAUUCCACUCACCAAUGGCACCAAAGUCUCCAACUCAGGAGCUUGUUUCACCUCUGAAAGAGGAAGAAAGACUGAUGUUGGGACAACCGAGGUAGGCCUCCAAGAGAGGCAAUG
rnacentral:rRNA from 1 species